rnacentral:rRNA from 1 species
AAUAAGCGGAGGAAAAGAAACUAACAAGGAUUCCCUCAGUAGCGGCGAGUGAAGCGGGAAAAGCCCAGCACCGAAUCCCCUGCUCCUUUGCGGGUAGCGGGACCUGUGGUGUUAGGGACGGUUUACGGGAGAGAGAGUCGCGGCGGCCCGUGUCCUCUCGAUAGGGGCCUCAUCCAUAGCGGGUGUCUGGCCUCUAGGCUCGCUAGGCUCUCUCGACCUGUCCGUCCCCGGAGUCGGGUUGUUUGAUAAUGCAGCCCAAAGUGGGUGGUAAGCUCCAUCUAAGGCUAAAUAUUACCACGAGACCGAUAGUUAACAAGUACCGUAAGGGAAAGUUGAAAAGAACUUUGAAGAGAGAGUUCAAGAGUACGUGAAACCGUUUAGAGGGAAACGGAUGGGCCCGCAGAAUAACGCUCGCGGAAAUCAGCUCGCCGCUCUUGUCUCUAGCCGGAGUGUACUGACUGGCGAAAUGCGAGUCUGGUGCGCGCUUCCGGCAAGUGGUGGGUGCAUUUUCCGCCGGGCUAGAGCCACGACCGGUUCUGAGCCGACCAAAACGACCGGGGCAAGGUAGCGCGCCUUUCGUACCUCGUGUACGGUCUGCGCGUCUUACAGGCCUCUGGUAGACAGCGCUUCUCGCGCCCGUGUCGUGCUCGGGACCGAGUAGAACGACGACCGUGAUCACGCCUGGCAUGUCCGGACCGCGUCUCAGUCUGACCGAUGUGGUACUUCUCUCGUAGAGGUGCCGCGCUCUCGGCCGGCUGGACGUGGCACCGGCGGCCUAGUAGUCGGGAUCAGUGGCUCAUUGUAAGUCGGCAACCCGUUC